GGGCGGGUAGCUCAGCUGGCUAGAGCGACGGCCUUACAAGCCGUAGGUCACAGGUUCAAGUCCUGUUCCGCCUACCA
rnacentral:tRNA from 1 species